GAGUUGCAAAUGAAGAAGCUUACUCAUAUUUGAAUGGAUCUACGGUUUGAAUGGGAGGAGGUCAGAGCAUUUGUGAGACAACCAGAUGGCUCUUUGUUUAUCUUGUGUAAACUUUUUGAGUGCUACCAUCAUUUAUUAUAUGGGAUUGUAAGAUCUUUUUAUCAAUUUGUUACUUCUUUUUUGCUACUCUCUCUUUCUCUUUCAAACACACGCAAGCGUUUAGAUUAUCUGCUGCAAUCAAUAAAUUUAAAAAUCAAAAUUUGUUUCCUUGAGGGGAUGCCCCAUUUCACAUUUGGAAAAUUCAAAUUCCAUUAGAUAGGGGUGAGAGGAGCUCAAGAAUAAAUGUAUAAAGUGUUGUCUGGGUGACAUAAUGCUCAACAUCACAAACUGGUCUGAGCCCCCUCUCUUCAGAGGGGGGCAAAUAGUUCCUGUGACAUAUGCUUAGAUAGUUUAAUGUUGCCAUACCUUUGAUUAUGUCUAGAGUAAUUUGAUGAACUGAUACUCUGUUUCUUUAUUUAUAAUAUGACACAAAAAUCCAAGUUUUUCUGGCUUUGCAAGGCUGUUUGCAAGUUUUUCUGGUGUUCAAAAUGAAUUUACAGGUAAACAAGAGCAAGGUAGAUGCAAUGUUAAAAUGGGACAGCAAGGAGUAUCUCUGGGAAGUUGGGGAAUCU
rnacentral:misc_RNA from 1 species